AUUCCUACGGGAGGCAGCAGUGGGGAAUUUUCCGCAAUGGGCGAAAGCCUGACGGAGCAAUACCGCGUGAGGGAAGACUGCCUAUGGGUUGUAAACCUCUUUUUUCAGGGAGGAAUCAUUGACGUGUACCUGAAGAAUAAGCAUCGGCUAACUCCGUGCCAGCAGCCGCGGUAAGACGGAGGAUGCAAGUGUUAUCCGGAAUCACUGGGCGUAAAGCGUCUGUAGGUGGUUUAAUAAGUCAACUGUUAAAUCUUGAGGCUUAACUUCAAAAUCGCAGUCGAAACUAUUAGACUAGAGUAUAGUAGGGGUAAAGGGAAUUUCCAGUGGAGCGGUGAAAUGCGUAGAUAUUGGAAAGAACACCGAUGGCGAAAGCACUUUACUGGGCUAUUACUAACACUCAGAGACGAAAGCUAGGGUAGCAAAUGGGAUUAGAUACCCCAGUAGUCCUAGCCGUAAACAAUGGAUACUAGAUGUUGAACAGAUCGACCUGUGCAGUAUCAAAGCUAACGCGUUAAGUAUCCCGCCUGGGAAGUAUGCUCGCAAGAGUGAAACUCAAAGGAAUUGACGGAAU
rnacentral:rRNA from 1 species